GACAGAGGGUGCAAACGUUGUUCGGAAUUACUGGGCGUAAAGCGUGUGUAGGCGGCUAGGUAAGUCGGAUGUGAAAGCCCCGGGCUCAACUCGGGAAGUGCACUCGAUACUGCUUAGCUCGAGUACCGGAGAGGUUGGUGGAAUUCUCGGUGUAGAGGUGAAAUUCGUAGAUAUCGAGAGGAACACCGGUGGCGAAGGCGGCUCACUGGUCCGGUACUGACGCUGAGGUGCGAAAGCGUGGGGAGCAAACAGG
rnacentral:rRNA from 1 species